rnacentral:tRNA from 1 species
GAGGGUAUAGCUCAGUGGUAGAGCACAUGCCUAAGCUAGCAUGAGGUCUUGGGUUCAAUCCCUAAUACCUCUA